AUGGCGCCUGAGCGCCUCAAGUUCAUCACCCGCCAUCCGGCCAGGCCCUCCACCGCCCGGAUCUGUUCCUCCCCUCACCUCCCUACCGUUGAGCCCCGCGCCAAGUCCACUGCCGCCAUGGAUGUCCCGAUGCGGGAGCUCGCUGUCGACUGCGCCCGACGUCGCCAGCCUCCGGAUCCGUCGAGCCCCGGCAUCUCUGGCCUCUCCGUUGUGGGAUCCUUCGAGUCCCUCGAGUUCAUCUAG
rnacentral:rRNA from 1 species